AAAACGGCCAUUUUCAAGGCCACCAAAUAAUAAUUAGAAAAUAUG
rfam:Crassostrea gigas strain 05x7-T-G4-1.051#20 contig23050, whole genome shotgun sequence.